rnacentral:rRNA from 1 species
GACGAACGCUGGCGGCGUGCCUAAUACAUGCAAGUCGAACGAGUGGCGGACGGGUUAGUAACACGUGGGAACCUACCCAUCAGAGGGGGAUAACACUUGGAAACAGGUGCUAAUACCGCAUACUGAUGGAUGGACCCUGAGGGCAUUAGCUAGUUGGUGGGGUAACGGCUAACCAAGUCCACGAUCCAUAGCUGGCCUGAGAGGAUGAUCAGCCACACUGGAACUGAGACACGGUCCAGACUCCUACGGGAGGCAGCAGUGGGGAAUAUUGGACAAUGGGCGAAAGCCUGAUGCAGCCAUGCCGCGUGUAUGAAGAAGGUCUUCGGGUUGUAAAGCACUUUCAGUUGGGAGGCGUUACCAACAGAAGAAGCACCGGCUAACUUCGUGCCAGCAGCCGCGGUAAUAC